AUACGUAGGUGGCAAGCGUUGUCCGGAUUUAUUGGGCGUAAAGCGAGCGCAGGCGGUUUCUUAAGUCUGAUGUGAAAGCCCCCGGCUCAACCGGGGAGGGUCAUUGGAAACUGGGAGACUUGAGUGCAGAAGAGGAGAGUGGAAUUCCAUGUGUAGCGGUGAAAUGCGUAGAUAUAUGGAGGAACACCAGUGGCGAAGGCGGCUCUCUGGUCUGUAACUGACGCUGAGGCUCGAAAGCGUGGGGAGCAAACAGGAUUAGAUACCCUGGUAGUCCACGCCGUAAACGAUGAGUGUUAAGUGUUGGAGGGUUUCCGCCCUUCAGUGCUGCAGCUAACGCAUUAAGCACUCCGCCUGGGGAGUACGACCGCAAGGUUGAA
rnacentral:rRNA from 1 species